rnacentral:rRNA from 1 species
AGUGAACGCUGGCGGCAGGCCUAACACAUGCAAGUCGAACGGCAGCACAGAGGAGCUUGCUCCUUGGGUGGCGAGUGGCGGACGGGUGAGGAAUACAUGGGAAUCUGCCCAAUCGUGGGGGAUAACGGAGGGAAACUUACGCUAAUACCGCAUACGACCUACGGGUGAAAGCGGCGGACCGCAAGGCUUCGCGCGAUUGGAUGAGCCCAUGUCGGAUUAGCUAGUUGGCGGGGUAAAGGCCCACCAAGGCGACGAUCCGUAGCUGGUCUGAGAGGAUGAUCAGCCACACUGGAACUGUGACACGGUCCAGACUCCUACGGGAGGCAGCAGUGGGGAAUAUUGGACAAUGGGCGCAAGCCUGAUCCAGCCAUGCCGCGUGAGUGAAGAAGGCCCUCGGGUUGUAAAGCUCUUUUGUCCGGAAAGAAAAGCUUUCGGUUAAUACCCGGAAGUCCUGACGGUACCGGAAGAAUAAGCAUCGGCUAACUUCGUGCCAGCAGCCGCCGUAAAAC